AGGACGAACGCUGGCGGCGUGCUUAACACAUGCAAGUCGAGCGGUAAGGCCUUUCGGGGUACACGAGCGGCGAACGGGUGAGUAACACGUGGGUGAUCUGCCCUGCACUCUGGGAUAAGCCUGGGAAACUGGGUCUAAUACCGGAUAUGACCUGCUCUCGCAUGGGGGUGGGUGGGAAGAUUUAUCGGUGCAGGAUGGGCCCGCGGCCUAUCAGCUUGUUGGUGGGGUAAUGGCCUACCAAGGCGACG
rnacentral:rRNA from 1 species